GGGAGCGCAGGAUCCUGGGCUGUGUCCCCGGCGCCCUGGGAUCGGGGCCUGCGCUGCUGGAAUCGCUCCCGGGGCCGCGGCUCCC
rfam:Canis lupus familiaris chromosome 29, whole genome shotgun sequence.